UACAGAGGUCUCGAGCGUUAGGCGGAAUCACUGGGCUUAAAGCGUGUGUAGGUGGAUCGUUAAGUACCUUGUGAAAUCCCACGGCUUAACCGUGGAACUGCUUGGUAUACUGGCGGUCUUGAGCCACUUAGGGGCUACCGGAACAAAUGGUGGAGCGGUGAAAUGCGUAGAUAUCAUUUGGAACGCCAAUGGUGAAAACAGGUAGCUGGGAGUGUGCUGACACUGAGGCACGAAAGCCAGGGGAGCAAACGGG
rnacentral:rRNA from 1 species